rnacentral:RNase_P_RNA from 1 species
AUGUCGGGCAGGGCGGUCGCUGGCGUCCGGAGAGACGCCAGAGGAAAGUCCGAGCUGCAGAGAGCAGGGUGCCUGGUGUCAAACCAGGGCAGCGGUGACCGGCGCCGCUGACAGUCCAGAUCGGCACGUCGACGAUUGGUCGACGUGAGAGCAACAGAGACGAUGACCGGGUUUGUCCCGGGGUGAAAAGGGCAAUCCUCCCCGCAGCAAUCUCCGAACGGGCCAUUACCAGGUUGCUCGCCGAGGCCCGAGGUUGAGAGCAGUCGCGGAGGUGACGAAGCGACCGUCCGUGGUAAUCCACGGGCGAGAGAGAUGACCGCCAAGAACAGAACUCGGCUUACUCGCCCGGCAUCGCU